GGCACUUAAUACAGAACCUGACACUAAUAGCUUCUCAGUAAAUAUGUCUGCCUUCUCUUCCAAUCUCUGAGGCUUCCUCAGGACAGAAUCUCCCCAAACCAGGAACUUCCUGCAGGCACACGUUCACGGAAACAGGUGCAGAGCUCCACACAGGCACCCGUCCAGAGUCCGGAACUCAGUAGGCGCUUCACCAAUGUGUUGAGCAGACAGACAUGAGUGAAUGCUGACACAUCCUCAGACACAAAGCCCCAACAGGGGCUCAGGCACUGGGACACCCCCACCCCCACGAUCUCUACCAAUGCUCCGCCGCCGCCGCCACGCCCCCUCCUAGCCAAAGGCGCGGGAAAUAUUUAAAACAAUUUUAUUCAUGAAAAUAUGCUGUACAAUGCACUCUACACGGCCUCGACACGGCACACACGCACACGCACACGCUGACGGCACGGCCACGGUACACUGCCUACGAUAUGCGCCGGGGACGCCGCGCCCACAGCCCGCCCCGACAGGACGCUUAUAAAUACGGGAGAGAGGAGCCAGGACUGGCACGGAGAAAGGGUUGUCGGUUGCUGGCUCUCUGGAGAGGCUGAGACCAGCACUGGGGGGUGAUGGGGAGGUUGGAAAACGGAAUUGACUCCGACAGAGAAGGGGAGAAGCUAGGGCCGGCAAGGAUGGGCGAGAGGCGCUGAACUGUGGGGGUGGGGGUGGAAGGAUGGUGUAGGGCUGAAGAUUCGGAGACCCCCGCCCCAUCUCCGGGUUGGCUUCCCAGACCGGCGCGGCCGCUUGCUCCUCCGCAUUCCACCCAGCCCGGAAUUCAGCCUCCACUCCCAGGCUUCCUGCCCAGGGAGGAGGAGGAGUGGGUCUCAGGAGUUUGGGCAGGAGUGGCGGGGUGCCCAAGCCCCUCCCCACCACUUCCCUCGGUGGUCAGCUUCGGAGGGAUGUCUCUAGCUGGGCUGGGGCUGCCUCCUGGAUCCUCCCGUGGAGCUGGAGUCGGGGGUGGGGAUCCGGGGAUCAGGAUGGGAAGACACAGGCCCCUCGGGGGCGGGGCCGGCACCCAGGGCGCGGGAGGCGGCCCUCAGCCCGGUACCCAGCUCUGAUUGGGGGGCGGGGCCCCGGCCAGGCCGGGCGGCGGCGGAGGCAGGGCCGAGUCGAAGUUGAAGUCCAUUUCGUCGCUGUCCAUGAAGUCGUUGAGGAUGAUGGACUCGACGUCGCACUCGAGGCUCCCGCUGAACAUGUCGAGGUCCAGGUCUGCCGGGAAGCGGUCGGGCGCGGCACCCAGCGGCCCGGCGGCAGCGGCCGCAUACGGCCCGGGCAGCGCGUCCAGCAGGAGGCCGCCGGGCGGGGCCCCGAAGGCGGCCGCGUGGCCCGGCGGCGCCAG
rnacentral:lncRNA from 1 species